AUUGAACGCUGGCGGCAGGCUUAACACAUGCAAGUCGAGCGGUAACAGGAGAAGCUUGCUUCUCGCUGACGAGAGGCGGAAGGGUGAGUAAUACUUAGGAAUCUACCUAGCAGUGGGGGAUAGCUCGGGGAAAAUCGAAUUAAUAACGCAUACGACCUACGGGAGAAAGGGGGCAACUUGUUGCUCUCGCUAUUAGCUGAGCCUAAGUCGGAUUAGCUAGAUGGUGGGGUAAAGGCCUACCAUGGCGACCAUCUGUAGCUUGUCUGAGAGGAUGAUCAGCCACACCGGAACUGAGCCACGGCCCGGACUCCUACGGGAGGCAGCAGUGGGGAAUAUUGGACAAUGGGGGCAACCCUGAUCCAGCCAUGCCGCGUGUGUGAAGAAGGCCUUUUGGUUGUAAAGCACUUUAAGCAGUGAAGAAGACUCUAGGGUUAAUACCCUUAGACGAUGACAUUAGCUGCAGAAUAAGCACCGGCUAACUCUGUGCCAGCAGCCGCCGUAA
rnacentral:rRNA from 1 species